rnacentral:rRNA from 1 species
UGCCUCAGUAACGGCGAGUGAAGCGGCAACAGCUCAAAUUUGAAAUCUCCUCCCCUCUGGGGGCCCGAGUUGUAAUUUGAAGAGGAUGCUUUUGGCGAGGCGCCUUCCGAGUGCCCUGGAACGGGACGCCACAGAGGGUGAGAGCCCCGUAUGGUAGGACGCCGAGCCUCUGUAAAGCUCCUUCGACGAGUCGAGUAGUUUGGGAAUGCUGCUCAAAAUGGGAGGUAAACCCCUUCUAAAGCUAAAUUGGCCAGAGACCGAUAGCGCACAAGAGAGUCAUCUAGAUGAAUAGC